GGCAGUUCCGUGUGUUUUGGAUACACAUAAUCACUAGAUAAAAUACAGAAAUAAACAUCCCAGGUCAUAGGAACCCAUGCAGGGAAAAGCACACGUCUGAA